rnacentral:rRNA from 1 species
UACGUAGGGUGCAAGCGUUGUCCGGAAUUAUUGGGCGUAAAGAGCUCGUAGGCGGUUUGUCGCGUCUGCUGUGAAAACCCGAGGCUCAACCUCGGGCCUGCAGUGGGUACGGGCAGACUAGAGUGCGGUAGGGGAGAUUGGAAUUCCUGGUGUAGCGGUGGAAUGCGCAGAUAUCAGGAGGAACACCAAUGGCGAAGGCAGAUCUCUGGGCCGUAACUGACGCUGAGGAGCGAAAGCUAGGGGAGC